UACGAAGGGGGCUAGCGUUGCUCGGAAUCACUGGGCGUAAAGGGCGCGUAGGCGGGAUGGCAAGUCGGUCGUGAAAUCCCUGGGCUCAACUCAGGGGGGUCGGCCGAUACUGCCGUUCUUGAGGGAUGCAGAGGAGACUGGAAUUCCCGGUGUAGCGGUGAAAUGCGCAGAGAUCGGGAGGAACACCCGUAGCGAAGGCGGCACUCUGGGCCGGUACUGACGCUGAGGAGCGAAAGCGUGGGGAGCAAACAGG
rnacentral:rRNA from 1 species